rnacentral:misc_RNA from 1 species
AUUUUAUAUUAAUAUAUUUUGACCUUUAAUUAACUUGCUAUUUAAUUAUUUGUUCAACUUUAAAUGGUAGUCUUGAUUCACAAAGUGAAGAUUUCGAUUCUUGAUUUGAUAAAUAUGGAUUAGAGGCUUAUUUCUUUUCCAAUAUGUGGGUUCAGAAUAUUAAUGUUUGAUAUCCAUGAUGUCCAAGGAUUGUUUCUUCAUUAUCCUUCUUGGAGGCUUCGGUUUUUCAGAGAUUCCUUACCUUAUGGCUGCUAUUAGGUUCUGGACUGCUACAUCUCAAUUGACUGACUUCAGUUGUUAAGAUGGGUUUACAAAGUUGUCUGGUGCUAUGCUGACUGUAUGGUGGUGUCUGUAACACGUUACAGCUGUCCUCUCCUUGGGUCCACUUCCUGGUUUACUUACAGAAGGUUUAUUUUUUCUGGGUUGUGACA